UUAAGUUCAGCGGGUAUUCCUACCUGAUCCGAGGUCAACCUUCAGAAGUUGGGUGUUUUACGGCAUGGCCGCGCCGCGUUCCAGAGCGAGGUAUUUUACUACGCAGAGGAGGCUACAGCGAGACCGCCACUAUAUUUCGGAGGCGGCCAGGGCCCCGGGGGGUCACCUAUAGGCCGAUCUCCAACAGCAGGCCCAAUAGG
rnacentral:misc_RNA from 1 species